rnacentral:rRNA from 1 species
GCACAAGCAGCGGAGCGUGUGGUUUAAUUCGAUGUUACACGAAGAACCUUACCAGGGUUUGACAUGCAAGUGGUAGGAAGCCGAAAGGUGACCGACCCUUCGGGGAGCCUGAACAGGUGCUGCAUGGCUGUCGUCAGCUCGUGUCGUGAGAUGUCCGGUUAAGUCCGGUAACGAGCGCAACCCUUGCUGUAUGUUACAAGUGUCAUACGGGACUGCCGGUAUCAAGCCGGAGGAAGGUGGGGAUGACGUCAAGUCAGCAUGGCCUUUAUAUCCGGGGCUACACACACGCUACAAUGGUCAGUACAAUAGGUUGCAAAGCCGCGAGGUGGAGCCAAUCCCAAAAGCUGGCCUCAGUUCAGAUUGCAGGCUGCAACCCGCCUGCAUGAAGUUGGAGUUGCUAGUAACCGCGCGUCAGCCAUAGUGCGGUGAAUACGUUCCCGGGCCUU